CAAGAUACCAGAAGCCGGG
rnacentral:misc_RNA from 1 species